rnacentral:rRNA from 1 species
UGGGGAAUAUUGGACAAUGGGCGCAAGCCUGAUCCAGCCAUGCCGCGUGAGUGAUGAAGGCCUUAGGGUUGUAAAGCUCUUUCGCCGGUGAAGAUAAUGACGGUAACCGGAGAAGAAGCCCCGGCUAACUUCGUGCCAGCAGCCGCGGUAAUACGAAGGGGGCUAGCGUUGCUCGGAAUCACUGGGCGUAAAGCGCACGUAGGCGGAUCGUUAAGUCAGGGGUGAAAUCCUGGAGCUCAACUCCAGAACUGCCCUUGAUACUGGCGAUCUCGAGUUCGAGAGAGGUUGGUGGAACUCCGAGUGUAGAGGUGAAAUUCGUAGAUAUUCGGAAGAACACCAGUGGCGAAGGCGGCCAACUGGCUCGAUACUGACGCUGAGGUGCGAAAGCGUGGGGAGCAAACAGGAUUAGAUACCCCUGGUAGUCCACGCCGUAAACGAUGGAUGCUAGCCGUUGGGGGGUUUACCUCUCAGUGGCGCAGCUAACGCCUUAAGCAUCCCGCCUGGGGAGUACGGUCGCAAGAUUAAAACUUAAAUGAAUUGACGGGGUCAUAGCUG